AUGUGCGUGCCCAAGAGCAAUGGAGGCAUGGGAUUCAGAGACGUGCACUGUUUUAACUUGGCCCUACUAGCGAAACAGAGCUGGAGGCUAGCGGAGCCAGAAUCAUUAUGUGCCAGAGUUUUAAAGGCAAAAUACUUUCCAGAUGGAGAUCUGCUAAAUUGCCCUCUCAAGAAGGGGAGUUCCUACACAUGGCAGAGCUUAUGGAGUGGCCUUCAAACGUUCAAAAAAGGCUACAUCUGGAGAGUGGGUGAUGGCACACAGAUAAGCAUUCGGGAUGAUCCUUGGGUUACUAGCAGCCCGAGCAGAAAGGUUAUGACACCUCGAGGUAAUAUCAUCCUAACUAAAGUUUCUGAGCUGAUAGAUAUGGAGAAUCGGUGCUGGGAUGAAAACCUUAUUAGACAUAUUUUUUGGCCCAUUGAUGCAAACCGUAUUCUGAAUAUACCCCUUGCAACGGGGAUGAUGGAGGGUUUUGUUUCGUGGCACUAUAAUAAAACCGGGAUUUUUUCGGUCAAGACG
rnacentral:rRNA from 1 species